GAUGAACGCUAGCUACAGGCUUAACACAUGCAAGUCGAGGGGCAGCAUGGUCUUAGCUUGCUAAGGCCGAUGGCGACCGGCGCACGGGUGAGUAACACGUAUCCAACCUGCCUCAUACUCGGGGAUAGCCUUUCGAAAGAAAGAUUAAUACCCGAUGUUAUAGUCCUACCGCAUGAUGGGAUUAUUAAAGAAUUUCGGUAUGGGAUGGGGAUGCGUUCCAUUAGUUAGUUGGCGGGGUAACGGCCCACCAAGACAACGAUGGAUAGGGGUUCUGAGAGGAAGGUCCCCCACAUUGGAACUGAGACACGGUCCAA
rnacentral:rRNA from 1 species